rnacentral:rRNA from 1 species
UACAGAGGGGGCAAGCGUUAUUCGGAAUUAUUGGGCGUAAAGGGCGCGUAGGCGGCUUUGCAAGUGACGGGUGAAAUCCCUCGGCUUAACCGAGGAACUGCCUGUCAGACUGGAAGGCUUGAGACCGGGAGAGGUGAGUGGAAUUCCCAGUGUAGCGGUGAAAUGCGUAGAUAUUGGGAGGAACACCAGUGGCGAAGGCGGCUCACUGGACCGGAACUGACGCUGAGGAGCGAAAGCGUGGGGAGCGAACAGG